UCCCAAGAUGGCGGAUGAAGUGUGUGGUUUGAUAGAGUUUUCUCGUUUGGCUUGUUACCAACCUCAGGACGGAAACGGGGAUCUCAUUAUUAUUUCAUAAGAUGCUGACCCUCCUCUUUUGAUAUAUGAAUGCUACAAUGGACGAAAAUCGUCACAAAAACCAGACCACGUUUCAAUGUCUCAGCAGUCAGUGUACACACAGCAUUGAUACCAAAGAUACAGCGAGGAUUUCAGCUCUAGAAGAAUAUCAAGAGAGACGAAAAAAACUAUUUGUUGGUACCGCAAAGAAUAUGUCCAAAGAGAAGAUCAAUGAAUAAAGGGGAUACCACAAAGAUUACAAGUUUGAUAGGAACGGCAAGGAAGACUAAAAAACACUAAAGGAAAAAUAUCCGUCAUAAAGUGAAAAUCUCAAUUUAGUGUCAGCAUUUAGGAUUUCUACUUCGUUUCCAUUUUGAAAAUGUAAUUUUGAGGUGCUUUUUGAUUAAAAGAGGGAAAAGAAGAAACGAAAAGUGUUAGCGUUGAAAGGAAGGAGAAAUUCAACGCUCCAAAUUCUCGCACGUGAGACUUGCUCAUUUAC